rnacentral:rRNA from 1 species
CCUACGGGUGGCUGCAGUAGGGAAUAUUGCGCAAUGGGGGAAACCCUGACGCAGCAACGCCGCGUGAGUGAGGAAGGUCUUCGGAUUGUAAAACUCUUUUGCUAGGGAAAAAUGGUCAUGGAGCUAAUACCCCAUGAUUUGAUGGUACCUAAAGAAUAAGGACCGGCUAACUUCGUGCCAGCAGCCGCGGUAAUACGAAGGGUCCAAGCGUUGUUCGGAAUCAUUGGGCGUAAAGCGCGCGCAGGCGGGUUAGCAAGUCAGAUGUGAAAUCUCGG